GACGAACGCUGGCGGCGUGCUUAACACAUGCAAGUCGAACGGAAAGGCCCUGCUUUUGUGGGGUGCUCGAGUGGCGAACGGGUGAGUAACACGUGGGUAACCUGCCCUUGACUUUGGGAUAACUUCAGGAAACUGGGGCUAAUACCGGAUAGGAGCUCCUGCUGCAUGGUGGGGGUUGGAAAGUUUCGGCGGGUGGGGAUGGACUCGCGGCUUAUCAGCUUGUUGGUGGGGUAGUGGCUUACCAAGGCUUUGACGGGUAGCCGGCCUGAGAGGGUGACCGGCCACAUUGGGACUGAGAUACGGCCCAGACUCCUACGGGAGGCAGCAGUGGGGAAUAUUGCACAAUGGGCGGAAGCCUGAUGCAGCAACGCCGCGUGCGGGAUGACGGCCUUCGGGUUGUAAACCGCUUUCGCCUGUGACGAAGCGUGAGUGACGGUAAUGGGUAAAGAAGCACCGGCUAACUACGUG
rnacentral:rRNA from 1 species